GUUUCCCCUCCAGGUCUUAUAGAACUCAAUGGUACUAUUAGAUCUGUGGCAACGACGUAGUUUAAUAAAGAUUCAUCAUUCAUUAUAUAUAUAAAUAAUAAAGCUUCGGCUUUCAGCUUAAUCAAAUACUUCAUGUAAUUUACUUAUAGAAAUAUGAAUAUGGCGGAGACAAGCAAUUUGUGCGAUUAUUAUAACACACUUCGAACUUGUUUGAUUUGUCUAACAAAUUGCGAUUUAUUACGGGUCAUUGAUAAAGAAUAUUAAAUUUAGAAGUUGCAGAUCGUGAUGGAUCUUUGAAAAAGGAAAGUAAAUUUACUGUUACAUGAAUUUUUCAACCACGUCAUGCGACGUAUUUGACGUAGUCUGGAUCCGCCCCUGGAGGAGAACUUAGCACAACGUAUCGGGGUGGAUAUCUAUCGUAACAUCAACGUGGAAAAUUUCAUCCCUGUUACUGCCAAGGACAACAAUCCGGAUUUAAUUGCAAGAAGUUGGAUUGGCUGGAUUUGAACAGGACGUUCUAUACGAGAAGGGAUUACGUUGGUUUUAUUCAGUUAUUUUGGGGAUGAUUGACGUAUUAUCAGUGUACCGUAUGUCAAGAAGCAUCCUAUGGUGAUACAGGUGAGCCAUCACCCUCAGAUUAAGCUCUAGGAUAUGUUUGCUACAAUGACGGAAUCGUUGUAACAAAGUCUUCUGUUCUUACUUCAUAUGCUUCAUCUUGUUUUAUACAGUUUUCCAAAAUGACUCAACUGUAAAUAUUGUAAAACAAGCACGAUUAAAAAGCGUGUAUAUAAA